GGACCCGCACAAGCGGUGGAGUAUGUGGUUUAAUUCGAUGCAACGCGAAGAACCUUACCAGGGUUUGACAUCCUGCGAAUCUCUUGGAAACAGGAGAGUGCCUUCGGGAACGCAGUGACAGGUGGUGCAUGGCUGUCGUCAGCUCGUGUCGUGAGAUGUUGGGUUAAGUCCCGCAACGAGCGCAACCCACGUCUUUAGUUGCCAGCAUUUAGUUGGGAACUCUAAAGAGACUGCCGGUGAUAAGCCGGAGGAAGGUGGGGACGACGUCAAGUCCUCAUGGCCCUUACGGGAUGGGCUACACACGUGCUACAAUGGCAGUGACAAUGGGUUAACCCCCAAAACUGUCUCAGUUCGGAUUGGAGUCUGCAACUCGACUCCAUGAAGUCGGAAUCGCUAGUAAUCG
rnacentral:rRNA from 1 species